rnacentral:misc_RNA from 1 species
UCUCCGUAGGUGAACCUGCGGAGGGAUCAUUACCGAGUGAGGGCUCACGCCCGACCUCCAACCCUUUGUGAACACAUCUUGUUGCUUCGGGGGCGACCCUGCCGGCACUCUGUCGCCGGGCGCCCCCGAAGGUCUCCCAACACUGCAUCUUUGCGUCGGAGUUUAAAACAAAUUAAACACAACUUUCAGCAACGGCUCUCUUGGUUCUGGCAUCGAUGAAGACCGCAGC